CCUACGGGUGGCAGCAGUGAGGAAUAUUGGUCAAUGGACGGAAGACUGAACCAGCCAAGCCGCGUGAGGGAAGACGGUACAGAGUAUCGUAAACUUCUUUUGUCAGGGAACAAAGGCGGGGACGUGUCCCCGGAUGAAUGUACCUGACGAAAAAGCAUCGGCUAACUCCGUGCCAGCAGCCGCGGUAAUACGGAGGAUUCAAGCGUUAUCCGGAUUUAUUGGGUUUUAAGGGUGCGUAGGCGGUUGGUUAAGUCAGCGGUGAAAGCCCGGGGCUCAACCCCGGCCCUGCCGUUGAAACUGGCGGGCUCGAGUUGAGGAGAGGUAGGCGGAAUGUGCGGUGUAGCGGUGAAAUGCAUAGAGA
rnacentral:rRNA from 1 species